rnacentral:rRNA from 1 species
ACGGAAUAGGACCUGGUAGUCAUGCUAUAAACAAUGAAUAUUAAAUAUUAAAUUUUAUAGUUAAAAUAUUUAUUGAAAUUUAUUUUUAUAAAAUAUUUUAAUAUUUUGAGAAAAAUUUAAUAUUAAAAGUUAACACGUUAAAUAUUCCGCCUGGGGAGUAAAACCGCAAGGUUGAAACUCAAAGGAUUUGACGGGAGCUUAUACUUACGGUGGAGCAUGUGGUUUAAUCCGAUAGUCCGCGUGAAAUCUUACCAAUUUUUGACAAUUUAUAGUUUUAUAAAUAAUACAGGUGUUGCAUGGCCGUCGUUAGCUUAUGUUGUGAAAUUUAUGAUAUAAGUAUAACCCUUAUUUUAAUUUGCUAAUAUUUAAAAGUUAAAAUAAAUUUUUUAUUUUAUAGUAAAUAUGCACUAUUAAAAAAAAUAUGUAAAAAUAUUUUUAAAGGAUGAAGAUAGGUCGUUAUGACCCUUAUAAAUUGGGCUACACAUUGGUGCUACACAA